UACGGAGGGUGCGAGCGUUGUCCGGAAUCACUGGGCGUAAAGGGCGCGUAGGCGGCGCGGGAAGUCAACGGUGAAAGCUUGGGGCUCAACUCCGAGUCGGCCGUCGAUACUCCCGUGCUCGAGCACUGUAGAGGCAGAUGGAAUUCCGGGUGUAGCGGUGGAAUGCGUAGAGAUCCGGAAGAACACCGGUGGCGAAGGCGGUCUGCUGGGCAGUUGCUGACGCUGAGGCGCGACAGCGUGGGGAGCAAACAGG
rnacentral:rRNA from 1 species